rnacentral:rRNA from 1 species
GAUCCUGGCUCAGGACGAACGCUGGCGGCGUGCCUAAUACAUGCAAGUCGAACGAGAGCGACCGGUGCUUGCACUGGUCAAUCUAGUGGCGAACGGGUGAGUAACACGUGGGUAACCUGCCCAUCAGAGGGGGAUAACAUUCGGAAACGGAUGCUAAAACCGCAUAGGUUCUACAGUCGCAUGACUGGAGAAGGAAAAGAGGCUUCGGCUUCUGCUGAUGGAUGGACCCGCGGUG